CGCCUCGAGCCAAUUUGUAGAAAAUGUGAAAAUGAGCGUAACAUCGUAAUUAAAUCAAUAAAAAAAUUAUUUUUUAAGUUAUGAUCAUGAAUUUUUAGUGAACCUUAGCAGUGAAAGUAAGAAUAUUUCCUGGAAUCGCUUUAUAAAAGCCGAACCACCUAUAUAUUUAUUGCACUUUGCAACCAAGGGUGUCACUAACGCUAUAAAGACGGGAGGAAAACCCUAAGAGAUACUCAGUCAAAAAAAAAUGCUAUCGAUGAGUUUAAAUGCUUUUUGAAUCGCACAAAUAAAUUUAUAACUGUCUCAGCCGUGAAACUACUUACCACUUUGGCAUUGGUUGUAGUUAGGGCGCUUCGGUACGAUUCGCUACUGUUCCUAUUUAGUAGUGGUAUGGACAAAGUACAUAAAACCGCACAUCACUUUCUAGGAUCAGCUCGUCUUGUAAUUCUGAUUUAUCGUCUGGUUAACAACUCCUUUUUUUCUGAGUUCUCUCUCUUGAUUUCCUUUCAUCAUCCUCCGUUUACAAAGAACGCUUCUAAGGCACCCAUUUAAUGUAGUACAUUCGACUUCAUAAAUAUGAAUACGGUGCACGAACUACAAGCAAAUAUACGUAGUUAGCGAUGCAAUGAACAAUUUGAAAUAGCUCAUUAUAUUUGUAAACAAGCGGCGGCUGAAAUUGUACAUGGAAGAAAUGAAUUGAAAAGAUCACUGAUUUCAACCUAACUAUAUGAUUAAAAGGAUACAUGAUAGGCAAAAGAGAAAAAAAAGAAUCUUUUAAAUAAAGCAAAAUAAUAGUCACUUCCAUAUUAUCCUCAAA